rnacentral:lncRNA from 1 species
GGAAAACAAUCCAGGCCGGGCUUAGCCCCAGUGGCAUGGGAACGCUGCGCGCCCUCUGACCUGGGUCUCUUCCUCUCUCUUCCCCUACAGCCCCCCGGGACCCUCCAGGUCAGGCCAAGCCGAGAGGGGCUCCGGUGAAACGGCCCCGGAAGACGAAGGCAAUUCAGGCCCAGAAACUGCGGAACUCGGCCAAGGGAAAGGUGCCCAAGUCGGCACUGGACGGGGUUUCACCAUGUUGGCCACGCUGAUCUCGAACUCCUGACCUCAGGUGACCUGCCUGCCUCGGCCUCCCAAAGUGCUGAGAUUACAGGUGUGAGCCACCGCACCCAGCCAUUCCAGCUGUUUUGUGUUUUUCAAACACAUUUGACACAUUUCUGCUUCAGGGCCUUUGCACUGGGUGUUCCCUCUACCUAGACAAAUGCUCUUUCCCCGGAUAUCCACAGCUCUCUUCGAGUCAUUUCAGUGAGACCUUCUCAUUCCCUCCUAUUUGAAAUUGCACCCUCCACCCCUGGAAUUCCCCUUUUCUGUUUCCUCUUUUGUUUUUCUCCAUGAAAUGUUUGCGCUUCUAAAAUACUGGGUCCUUUGUCCUUCAUCUCUCACUGAAGCGAAAGCUCCAGAGUAGCUCCCUUGGUGAGUAGUAUUCAGGACAUAAUUGUUGGAAAAUGGGGGUGGGGGCCAAGAGCCUGGGGCUUUCAGCAGGACCUGUGUGGAGAAUGCAUUUGAUGGAGAAGAGCCCAGCCGCUGUAAUAACCUGGGAAGGGAACGAUGAGGUCUUUGGCAGGGCCAUGGGCCAGGGACUGAGAAUGGUUCCAGGGGGAGUGAAUCUGAAAUGGUGCUCCCUGCCUGCUACCCACAGACGAGUACCGGAAGCGAGAGUGUCGAGACCACCUCAGAGUAAACCUGAAGUUUCUGACCAGGACGAGAAGCACCGUGGCUGAGUCUGUGAGCCAGCAGAUUUUGCGCCAGAACCGGGGCCGCAAGGCCUGUGACCGGCCUGUGGCCAAGACCAAGAAGAAGAAGGCUGAGGGCACCGUGUUCACCGAGGAAGACUUCCAGAAGUUCCAGCAGGAAUACUUCGGCAGCUAGGCUCCCUGGAGGGCACGGUGAAGAGGCCUUCAAGCCCUGCAGCCUCCGACUCCUGCUGGCUCCAGGAACCGGCCGUGCCGCGCGGCCAGCAGAUGGCGAUGCAGGACCAGCCUGGCUCGAGGAAGCCGCGGAGCUGAGCCGAGUGGAGGCUGGAAUGGAGCUGGUGGGCCGGAAGUCCUGGGGAGGAUUUACACACAGACCGGAGCUGGCUUCCGCAGGCCUGGGCAGAGCAUCUGCACCUGCCGGAAAGGAACGUAUCUGUUUUGUUUGCUUUUGCCCAGGUGGGGCCUCUGGGCUGUUUGCUGUGGAGCAAGGCUAAUUCCUGAGCCCUUGGGGACGACAGCUCCAGGAGUAGGAAGAAGGGUGGGCUUCCAAGUUACAAUAAAUGUGAACCC